GACUUGGCUUUUCUUUUUUUUUUUUUAAAGGGGGAAGAGAAAAGGGUGCUUCCAGAAGAGCGCCGCGGAGGCGGGAGAAAGACACGAGAGAAAAAGAAAUUCGGAGCAAAACAUGCGAGGUUGUCCCAUGCCUACCUGAGCAAUUGGAAAACACAUGCCUCUCUAACACAGUGCAACUUCUACAAUCAGAGCAACUGCUGGGUAUAAGGAACAGCACAUAGAUUUUGAAUCACAGUGUUUUACAGCUGAUCUUUAAAUGAAGCAUGUGGGGGUGGAUAAAAGAAAAGUAAAAUCAAUCUUCAGGAAGAGUGCAUUACCCCUCACAUGGAGUAUUGAUUCAGUGGAGAAUUGGAAGGAUGCUAUGGAGAGAAUUAGAGGGUCGAGGAAAACGUUGGAGACCCCUGGCUUAAAGCAUCCAGUUUGGUCACCACAAUACAACCAUUAGACAUAAGUGUAGCCUUCAUUACUAUAUUGAGCAAAUUGGACAGUCUCUCCAGAAGUAAACUACAACUCUGGCUAAAAUAUCAAUAUCUACAGCCUUGCUAUUAUGAAUACUCUUGACAGGAUUUAUUACAUCCUUUUCAUCAAUUCUUUUCUUGGACAUUAACAGUAUUUUUUCAACAUAGCAUCAUUACUAUACAAAUCUCUAAAAUUUUCCUUCCAUUCUUUCAGUUCAAUUCCAUUCAAAAUUAUAUCCUUGCUUUUAAUUAAAUUCA